rnacentral:rRNA from 1 species
ACAUGCCUACAACAUAGUUUUAAUGCACCAGAUCCCAUUAUAACUUUGAAGUUAAGCACGCUCAGGCUAAAGUAGUAUGGGGAUGGGUGACCGCCUGGGAAGUCCUAGUAUUUUACAUGCC